rnacentral:rRNA from 1 species
AGGCAUAUACCAGAAAGGACCGUACACAUGCAGUCGAGCGGCAGUCAACGGGUACUUGUACCUGGUGGCGAGCGGCGGACGGGUGAGUAAGCCUAGGAAUCUGCCUGGUAGUGGGGGAUAACGCUCGGAAACGGACGCUAAUACCGCAUACGUCCUACGGGAGAAAGCAGGGGACCUUCGGGCCUUGCGCUAUCAGAUGAGCCUAGGUCGGAUUAGCUAGUUGGUGAGGUAAUGGCUCACCAAGGCGACGAUCCGUAACUGGUCUGAGAGGAUGAUCAGUCACACUGGAACUGAGACACGGUCCAGACUCCUACGGGAGGCAGCAGUGGGGAAUAUUGGACAAUGGGCGAAAGCCUGAUCCAGCCAUGCCGCGUGUGUGAAGAAGGUCUUCGGAUUGUAAAGCACUUUAAGUUGGGAGGAAGGGCAGUUACCUAAUACGUAUCUGUUUUGACGUUACCGACAGAAUAAGCACCGGCUAACUCUGUGCCAGCAGCCGCGGUAAUACAGAGGGUGCAAGCGUUAAUCGGAAUUACUGGGCGUAAAGCGCGCGUAGGUGGUUUGUUAGGUUCCAUGUCAAUUUCUCUGGGAUUUUAACCUGUGAAGUGCGU